UACGAAGGGUGCAAGCGUUACUCGGAAUUACUGGGCGUAAAGCGUGCGUAGGUGGUUUGUUAAGUCUGUUGUGAAAGCCCCGGGCUCAACCUGGGAAUGGCAAUGGAUACUGGCAAGCUAGAGUGCGGUAGAGGGUAGUGGAAUUCCCGGGUGUAGCGGUGAAAUGCGUAGAUAUUGGGAGGAACACCAGUGGCGAAGGCGGCUCACUGGACCGGUUCUGACGCUGAGGCGCGAAAGCGUGGGGAGCGAACAGG
rnacentral:rRNA from 1 species